ACAUUUAUGUCACAAAUCAUAAGAACAUAAGAAAGGUAAAAAAAAAUAAAAAGUCAAUUCCCUUAUGCUGUUAAGUUUGGCUUGAAUAUGAUCUGUCUCAGCCUAACGGGUGAGGCACAUGCCUUACUAAAAUAAGGAAACAUUUACAGCUGAAAGCAGAAUGUGGCUAUACCUCUUGGGAAACAAAUUUUCUGCUCAGGCCCUAAUUCAUACAACAUCAUCAAACUGAAGAGUGACGUAUUUCCCCCCUUUGCAGCUCCAAGCUGGGUUGUUUCUGCCAAUUCUUCCUCCUCCCCAGCCAGUAUGUUGUAACCUCAGGUAAAGACUUCAGUUUUAAUUUGUUCAAAUGUUUAAUUUUUUUAUUUGUAAAGUUGGACAAUAAACCAAUUCUCCUCGUUUCCAAAGAUUUAUUGCUUUUUCCAAUUUAUUGAACGUUUAGUGCAGGCUGUAUUUCAAUUAAAGGCAGCAAAACUGUUAAUGGUCUAUUAACGACACACUGCAUCUAUAUAAAGAUGCAAAUAUAAGUCGUGGCCAAUUUUCUGGCCCGGUGAGAUAAUUUCUUCUUUUCCCCGGAGUGAAUUAUCUGCGAACAACUCAUAAUUUUAUACCAGCCCGUAUCUCUGGCUAAGGCCGUAUCUCUGGCUACUGCUUAACGGCAAGUAUCUGCAGCGCAGGAGCAAUCCCUGGUUUGUCACCCAGGGAAGCGGCCUCCUGCCUUCGGGACGGGGACCGCAGGAGCUGUGGGGAGCAGGGCGGGCAGGCGCAGGGUGCCGGGCCCCUGUCAGGCCGGGCCGUCUGUACGUGGCAUCCCCGGUGGCGCGGGAGCGGCGCCCCCGGCCCGCCCGGUGAUGCGCCCGCCGUUACCAUGGCAACCGCCCCCCCCCCCGCCCGCACGGCUCGGCCCCACGUGACCCGCGGCGGCGCUCGCGGCCAACCCGCCUGUUACCAGGGCGGGGGCGUUGGGGGGGGCGCUCUUGUUUCCGAUUGGCUGUUGCCGGAGCUCGCUGAUUGGUGGGGAAAGGACGGCGGCUUGCCGAUUGGCUGGGCCCGGAGGUGAGGCUGUGGGGUGAUGCCGGACGCCCCGCGCAGCGCCGGGACACAGACAAAGGCUGCCCAAAGGCUGCCCGGAGGCUGCUCGGGCUCCCCCCGCGCCCCCGGGCUGCCGCGGCCCGGGAUAGCCUCGGGGGAGCCACGGCUCUUGGCGCGCUGCUGGGGAGGCGGCAACGCGAACCUGGCCGGGCGCCCACAGAACCCCGCGCCCUCCCCUCCCGGCCGCCCGCUCCGACUGGCGCUGGGGCACGCGGCGCGCGGAGGGGCGGAGUCGGUGUCACGCUCGCCGCGCGCCCGGCAGCCAAUGGGCGGGCCGGGAGAACGCGGGCCGCACGCGGGGCCCGCGUGUCCCCCGGCACUGGCUGUCAGUCACCCGUCAGUCACUCGGCCCGCCCCGCUCCGGCGCGGCCCCGCCCGGCUGAGGGAGAGCGGGCCCGCAGCGCCGCUCAGUCACGGUGGCCCUCGCUGCGAGCCGUGCCCGGGGCGGCACCGGCGCUGCGGAGCGUUCUGCGGCAGCCGCUGCCUUGUCUCAGGGUUGGGGUGCGAGGGUGUCGCCGCCACACUGGAACGGCUCCCUGGCGGCCUCAGCCUCGCAGUUUCUGCCGCCAGCGCCAAGCCCGCGCGGCCCGACCCCCUCGGGAUGCCCGCGGUGCGGGCUCUGCUCCCGGCGCCCUCCCCCGGUGGGGGGAAAGAGGCGGAGCUCGUGUGGCCGCCGCCCGCCGCCUUUAUCUGGCGUGGCGGCGCGGGGGGUGGCACUGGGGAACACCUUGUUGUAAGAUACGCGCUAUAAAUACGGCAGCGGGGAUGGGAGUGCGGCCACGGGCGGCGGGAACAGCUUCGAACUACGGUGGGUGCCUUCCCCGCGGCACGGCGGCUGGGGACCGCUUGAAUUGUAAUUACCGGCGCGCUGUGGGGCUGCCAUCACCUCGGCCACCCCCCGCACCCGGUUCCCGGGAGGAGUCGCGGGGGAAGUUCUGCGUUUUGGCUGGUUUUGUACGGAGGGGAGCGGCGGCAGCGAGCCCCGGCGGCUGCGGCAGGGCAGGCGGAGGAGCGGAGGCAGGGCUCUGAUCGCCAGCAGCCGCCGAGCCCAGCCCGCGACGGAGGGCGGCCGGUGCCCCUAGCGCGGAGGAGGAGGGGGAGGAAGAGGUCGCCGCCGGAGGAGCCCCGCGGUCCGGUCCGAGCCGCGUCGCUGAGCACGCCUGCCCCGCCGC